rnacentral:rRNA from 1 species
UACGUAGGGUGCGAGCGUUGUCCGGAAUUAUUGGGCGUAAAGAGCUCGUAGGCGGUCUGUCGCGUCGAUCGUGAAAACUUGGGGCUUAACCCUGAGCUUGCGGUCGAUACGGGCAUGACUGGAGUUCGGCAGGGGAGACUGGAAUUCCUGGUGUAGCGGUGAAAUGCGCAGAUAUCAGGAGGAACACCGGUGGCGAAGGCGGGUCUCUGAGCCGAUACUGACGCUGAGGAGCGAAAGCGUGGGGAGCGAACAGG